UUAGUCACAUGAUAUCUCAGACAGUACUGGCCCGAUUUUGACUAAACUUGAGUGAAUUAUGCGUCUUGCCAUAGAGAUCCGGCAUUUACAAAAUUACACUGAUUGGCCCAAGGUAGGAGAUAUAGUGAUUAACUGAAAUCUGUUAGUGUACGCGAUAUCUCAAUUGGCACAAGGGGGUUGCUGCGUCAUUCGUGAGGGACGACAUGUUUACUGUUGCCUUGUUUAACCUUUAAUUAUCCAGUCCCGUCUGUGACCAACACACUGCAUCAUCUAGACCAGAUUCCCUCAGAGGAGGAUGGAUGGGUAACAAACAGUUCCCUGGUCUAAACACAACCAUGACAUACAGCCAGAUAAUGCCGACAACCUGACGUUAUUAUGCUAUCAGAGAAGAAAGAAGGAUGUCAAUCCUGAUCAUCCACCGAUCCAUGCAAAGACACAAUCUGAUGCUGAAAAAAGAGGGGGAAAUGGAGAUUAAAUCAGAGGCACUGUGGAAAAAAUCAAACAAAUGAAUGUGGUGAUGAACUUAACUCCAGUAUCCACUGAAUGAAACUCUUUUGAGCAGCCCCCUGAACAAUUUGUACUAGUACAACAUUAAUCCUGCUUGAAUUAAAUUGUACCUCAUGUGUCAGUUGAACUAUGUUGCAUAGUAAAACCCAUGUUCUUUA